ensembl:lncRNA
GGAUGAGGCACAGGUGUGUCACUGAAUUACUUGGUGCUGGAAAAAAAGGGCACCCACUGGCGUUCAGCAGUUCUUGCUGAACUUUUAGGGAGGCAAAAGUGUGAAUGUGAGCACAGUGUGGUGGUGAAUGGUGUGUUUCAGAGGAAAAUGAUGAGUAUAGAGCAAGACAAGGUUUUCUCUUACAAUGUAUGAUGAAGCCUAUGUAUUUGUUGCACAUGGUUAGAUUGGAAGUGAUGAUAUUAGGUGUGCUUUUGUAAAUUUUGCCAAAAUAGUUUUGACUCGUACCAGGAACCUCUUAAGUUCUACCAGAAGUACGAGUAGUAAUGCUUACAGUAAUGAGUAUGAUUUAGGGAACCGUAACAUUCUCCAAGUAGCUGAAGAAUAUAAGCAUCAAGAUAAUCUUGGUAUGGUGAUAUAACUACAGUAGUAAAAGGUACUAAUAUAGUAAUUACUAGAAAUG